AUGGCAAGUUAUCGUACGGCGGUUCAUAAGCCCAAGUCUUGGGCUUUUACCAGGCCUGCCUCCAUAAGUCACCGUCUUCACAAUUCUCCUUGGGCCUCCUUGGACCUUCCUUUUUAUUUAAACCGCCAACAGUGUAACUUGGCCCCUCCUAGGUGUGUCUCACCUCGGAGCUAUAUCCCCAACAUGUGGCCAAUGACUCGCACAGACCUGACGAUGUCUGGGAGACUGGUGAUGAGGAUCCAAGUAGUAUCCAGGACCGCCACUGUCUUGGGGUCGCAAACGGGCUCCGACAUGUCCAUGACCAGCUUGUUGAGCGCCAAUGUGAGCUUGGUGCUGUGGGUAGCAUAUCUGUGGCUAGUCACAUUGGGGAAGACCAUCGAGAACUUACAGCCCGCGGUAGGAGUGAUCGCUAGUCCCACUUGCAAUGGUACAGGUUGUUGA
rnacentral:rRNA from 1 species